ACUUAUAAAAGUGAGUGUGGAUGG
rnacentral:siRNA from 1 species